AUGGAGUUUUGAAUUGAAAAUUAGAUUUUCUGCUUCACAUGAAUGCCAUAGAGGUGGAGGAUUGUAAUCCAUGGAGGAAUCGAUGGGUUCAGCCGACUGGUGGUUUUCCUGAAGGCUUCUAACAGCAACAGAAGUGACAUUGUAAUGGACCUGUUUUCGGAAGCAGUCGCCCAGUUUGGUGUCCCAUCCAGAGUGAGAUGUGACUAUGGAGGGGAAAACAACGCCAUUUGUCUCUUCAUGGAUGUCUUCCGAGGAUCAACCCGAGGGAGUGCUUUAAGAGGGAUGAGCACUCAUAAUCAACGCAUUGAAAGACUGUGGGGCGAUGUCUGGAGAGGCGUGACAAAAAAAACGCAAGGUCCUACGUAGUGUGGUCAGGUCUGCUGAGUUUAUCAUCGGCAGGCCACCACUAGCCAUUUUACAUUGAUGCAUUUCUCACUAGUCACUUUACACACUGUCACUUUCAGCUACUGGUUGCACUAUCAGCAAUAUUGCACUAACUGUACCCCACUUGUCUUAGGUUAGUAUAGGUCUAAGGUUAGUAUAGGUCAUUAUCUAUAUUAGAGGUCUCUAUUUUGUAUAUUUAGGAGGUUUAUAAUUUGUUAUUAUCAUUUUUCUUUUAGCUUAUCAUAGAUGUAAUCUAAGUACUUAUUAUGUUAUGCCAGGUUGCUUUGCAUUGUCUUGUCCCAAAAAUGUCAGUGCCCAGUCUGACUUUGUGGUGUUCUGUGUACCUGACAAUAAGACUUGAAACAGA